AGCUGAUCACUGGGUGUAAAGCGUGCGCAGGCGGUUUUGUAAGACAGAGGUGAAAUCCCCGGGCUCAACCUGGGAACUGCCUUUGUGACUGCAAGGCUGGAGUGCGGCAGAGGGGGAUGGAAUUCCGCGUGUAGCAGUGAAAUGCGUAGAUAUGCGGAGGAACACCGAUGGCGAAGGCAAUCCCCCUGGGCCUGCACUGACGCUCAUGCACGAAAGCGUGGGGAGCAAACA
rnacentral:rRNA from 1 species